CAAAUGUUGGAAGAGGUUGAGUUUCUGGAAUCUCUUGAUUCUCGGAAUUCAGUGGCAGCUCCUCCAUGAUUCUACAAAGUAUGGUAGUAGAUAGGAAGCUGCUCUUUUGCCUACUUUUGGAUGCGGAUUGGCAGCCUUAAC